rnacentral:rRNA from 1 species
UUCUGACCUCGAAUCAGGUGGGACUACCCGCUGAACUUAAGCAUAUCAAUAAGCGGAGGAAAAGAAACUAACAAGGAUUCCCUUAGUAACUGCGAGUGAAGUGGGAUGAGCUCAAAUUUAAAAUCUGGUAGUCUCUGGCUGCCCGAGUUGUAAUCUAGAGAAGUGUUUUCUGUGCUGGACUGUGUUUAAGUUUCCUGGAUAUGGAACAUCAUAGAGGGUGAGAAUCCCGUCUUUGACACAGACUGCCAGUACUCUGUGAUGCACUCUCAACGAGUCGAGUUGUUUGGGAUUGCAGCUCAAAAUGGGAGGUAAAUUCCUUCUAAAGCUAAAUA